GCUUAGUGGCGAACGGGUGAGUAACACGUAGGCAACCUGCCCAAAAGAGGGGGAUAACACUUGGAAACAGGUGCUAAUACCGCAUAACCAUGAACACCGCAUGAUGUUCAUGUAAAAGACGGCUUUUGCUGUCACUUUUGGAUGGGCCUGCGGCGUAUUAACUUGUUGGUGGGGUAACGGCCUACCAAGGUGAUGAUACGUAGCCGAACUGAGAGGUUGAUCGGCCACAUUGGGACUGAGACACGGCCCAAACUCCUACGGGAGGCAGCAGUAGGGAAUCUUCCACAAUGGACGAAAGUCUGAUGGAGCAACGCCGCGUGAAUGAAGAAGGCCUUCGGGUCGUAAAAUUCUGUUGUCAGAGAAGAACGUGCGUGAGAGUAACUGUUCACGUAUUGACGGUAUCUGACCAGAAAGCCACGGCUAACUACGUGCCAGCAGCCGCGGUAAUACGUAGGUGGCGAGCGUUGUCCGGAUUUAUUGGGCGUAAAGGGAACGCAGGCGGUCUUUUAAGUCUGAUGUGAAAGCCUUCGGCUUAACCGAAGUAGUGCAUUGGAAACUGGAAGACUUGAGUGCAGAAGAGGAGAGUGGAACUCCAUGUGUAGCGGUGAAAUGCGUAGAUAUAUGGAAGAACACCAGUGGCGAAAGCGGCUCUCUGGUCUGUAACUGACGCUGAGGUUCGAAAGCGUGGGUAGCAAACAGGAUUAGAUACCCUGGUAGUCCACGCCGUAAACGAUGAGUGCUAAGUGUUGGAGGGUUUCCGCCCUUCAGUGCUGCAGCUAACGCAUUAAGCACUCCGCCUGGGGAGUACGGUCGCAAGACUGAAACUCAAAGGAAUUGACGGGGGCCCGCACAAGCGGUGGAGCAUGUGGUUUAAUUCGAAGCAACGCGAAGAACCUUACCAGGUCUUGACAUCUUCUGACAAUUCCAGAGAUGGAACGUUCCCUUCGGGGACAGAAUGACAGGUGGUGCAUGGUUGUCGUCAGCUCGUGUCGUGAGAUGUUGGGUUAAGUCCCGCAACGAGCGCAACCCUUAUAGUCAGUUGCCAUCAUUAAGUUGGGCACUCUGGCGAGACUGCCGGUGACAAACCGGAGGAAGGUGGGGAUGACGUCAAAUCAUCAUGCCCCUUAUGACCUGGGCUACACACGUGCUACAAUGGACGGUACAACGAGUCGCUAACUCGCGAGGGCAAGCUAAUCUCUUAAAGCCGUUCUCAGUUCGGAUUGCAGGCUGCAACUCGCCUGCAUGAAGUCGGAAUCGC
rnacentral:rRNA from 1 species